rnacentral:rRNA from 1 species
UCCAGACUCCUACGGGAGGCAGCAGUGGGGAAUAUUGCACAAUGGGGGGAACCCUGAUGCAGCGACGCCGCGUGGGCGAGGAAGUAUUUCGGUAUGUAAAGCCCUAUCGGCAGGGAAGAAGAAAUGACGGUACCUGGAUAAGAAGCCCCGGCUAACUACGUGCCAGCAGCCGCGGUAAUACGUAGGGGGCAAGCGUUAUCCGGAUUUACUGGGUGUAAAGGGGGCGCAGACGGCAGCGCAAGCCAGGAGUGAAAGCCCGGGGCCCAACCCCGGGACUGCUCUUGGAACUGCGCGGCUGGAGUGCAGGAGGGGCAGGCGGAAUUCCUGGUGUAGCGGUGAAAUGCGUAGAUAUUAGGAGGAACACCAGUGGCGAAGGCGGUCUGCUGGACAGCAACUGACGCUGAGGCGCGAAAGCGUGGGGAGCAAACAGGAUUAGAUACCCCUGUA